ACGGGAGGCAGCAGUGGGGAAUAUUGGACAAUGGGGGAAACCCUGAUCCAGCGACGCCGCGUGAGUGAAGAAGUAUUUCGGUAUGUAAAGCUCUAUCAGCAAGGAAGAAAAUGACGGUACUUGACUAAGAAGCUCCGGCUAAAUACGUGCCAGCAGCCGCGGUAAUACGUAUGGAGCAAGCGUUAUCCGGAUUUACUGGGUGUAAAGGGAGCGUAGACGGCGAAGCAAGUCUGAAGUGAAAUGCCGGGGCUUAACCCCGGAACUGCUUUGGAAACUGUUUUGCUCGAGUGCAGGAGAGGUAAGCGGAAUUCCUAGUGUAGCGGUGAAAUGCGUAGAUAUUAGGAGGAACACCAGUGGCGAAGGCGGCUUACUGGACCACAACUGACGCUGAGACACGAAAGCGUGGGGAGCAAACAGGAUUAGAUACCCUGGUA
rnacentral:rRNA from 1 species